rnacentral:rRNA from 1 species
AGAACGAACGCUGGCGGCAUGCCUAAUACAUGCAAGUCGAACGAACACUUCGGUGUUAGUGGCGCACGGGUGCGUAACGCGUGGGAAUCUGCCCUUGGGUUCGGAAUAACAGUUGGAAACGACUGCUAAUACCGGAUGAUGACGAAAGUCCAAAGAUUUAUCGCCCAGGGAUGAGCCCGCGUAGGAUUAGCUAGUUGGUGAGGUAAAGGCUCACCAAGGCGACGAUCCUUAGCUAGGUCUGAGAGGAUGAUCAGCCACACGUGGGACCUGAGACGACCGGCCCAGACCUCCGUACGGGAGCAGCCGAGUAGGGAAUAGUUGGACAAGU